rnacentral:tRNA from 1 species
AGAGAUAAAUUAUUAGUUCUGCUAAAACUAAAACCCGGUCCCAAUUUAACCGGUAUCUCU